rnacentral:tRNA from 1 species
GUAUUUAUAGUUUAAUUUAAAAUAUUAGAUUGUGGUUCUAAAGACAAAAGUUAAAAUCUUUUUAUUUACC